AAUUCAAACUCGCAACAAGCUUCCUCAAGAAGACUAAGGUACGUCUCUGCUGUACUUUCUGAUUCAUUAACAAUUAAAAUUCAAAAUUCAAAUUUGUAAUUAAAGUUUACUAAUGCUCUCUCCAAGCUAUCUGCUCUCUCUUCUUCACUUCUCACUUCUUUCAUGUAAUCUCUAAUUUUCUUUUACGUUUCUCUCAUUUCUAUUCCUAAUCAUUCUUCUCUAUAAUCUGUAUUUGAAGUAUUACUUUCCUAACAAUUUCUUUGUCUUUUAAUUACAGGUUAAACUUUCGUUGAUAAAACGUUUGAUGAUUUGUCUAAGUGAGAAAAUUUUACUUUCCUAAUAACUUCUUUGUUUUUUAAUUGCAGGCUAAAUUUUUGUUGACAAGGUGUUUGAUGAUUCAUCUAAAAGAGAAAAAAAAUGAUAAAUUGGUCAUUUCUAGCUCUUUCUCUUAUACAUGGUUGCUGACUUUUUGUAUUGUGUUUAGUAAGUUUGCAUCCUCCGUGUGGAACUUAAGUUUGCACUGGAUGAUUGUGACAUUAUAAUGGAGUUAAUAUGACAAGAAGAAGAAAACU
rnacentral:lncRNA from 1 species